UUCAGAGCACGGCGGACGCGGACACGGGACGGAUCGGGUGCGGAACGACUGGCGUCGCGAUUUAUUUAAUUGAACGCGACGGACACGGGACGAUCGGCUGAGGAACGACUGGCGUCGCGACUUACUUAAUUGGCUAUUCCGCUUUUAUCGACGAACAAAGAAACUAAACUCAAUCGCCGCCGAUUGUAUAAAGUCUAUAAACGGUUCGUUGCGUUUUAUUUUCGCGAGUGUCGUUCGAAGUCGUCGGAUUAUUCGGAAUUCCGUCGUUUCUCUGCCGUCCGAGUCCGCCGGAAAUAAUCGAACGUUAAUUCGCGUUUCGGGAUUGUCAUGUAAAAUAUCGUUCUUUUUUAAUAAUUAGCAUAUAACUGCGUCA